GGAUGCGAUCAUACCAGCACUAAUGCACCGGAUCCCAUCAGAACUCCGAAGUAAGCGUGCUUGGGCGAGAGUAGUACUAGGAUGGUGACCCCCUGGAAGUCCUCGUGUUGCAUCCC
rnacentral:rRNA from 1 species